CCCAGUAUGGGGAGGUGGUGAAGAAAAAUACCGAUGCGGGACUCUUAUUGAGGCUUCAUAAUCGGAAUGAGUGAACUCUUAAUUUUUUCACGAGGAUCAAUUGGAGGGCAAGUCUGGCGCCCUUAGCGGUGGUAACUCAAGCUUCAAUAGCGUAUAUUUUAGUUGUUGCAGUUAAAAAGCUCGUAGUUGGAUCUCGGUAUCACUGUCGCCUGUCAGUCCUCGGCUGAGUGUGUCGGUGUAGGUGGGGCCUUGCUUCGCUCGGUGGCCCUUGCCCAGGCAUGGUUAUGCUCGAUUUGAUGUGGUGGUGGUGGUGUCACCUUUCAGCCAUGUCUNAUGUCUGCGGUGAAAUACCCGCAGGUUUAGGCGAGUGUCAGGUGGUGCUUUGCGAGAACAGGGUCCGUCGGCUUGUGGCAAUCAAGCGUUCAAAGCGACGUCGUUUUUUGAUCCAUCGAUGUCGGCUCUUCCUAUCAUUGUGAAGCAGAAUUAACCAAGCGUUUGAUUGUUCACCCACUAAUAUGAACCGCGAGCUGGGUUUAGAACGUCAUGAGAUAGGGAAGUUUUACCCUACUGAUGGUUGAACUGUGUAAACAGUGAAGUACAAUAUGGCCGUUACAAUGGUUAUACUGUUUAGUACGGGAGGAACCGCUGCUUCAGACAUUUGGUAAAUGCGCCUGGUCGAGCGGCCAAUGGUGCAAAGCGACCAUCUAAGGGAUUAAGACUGAAAGCCUCUAAGCCUGAAUUCCGUCCAUAGAUGCGCAACGAUACAGCUUUGCCUGUUACGUGGUGGGGCAGAUAUAGUACUUUCCGGUCAGAUUGAAUUCGGGUGGGGCUGGCGUGCACUACCGAACAUGUUCAUCGGUUCUCCUGUUGCGUGACAGUGUGUUUCCUAGAUAAGCGAAUGUUUUCACAUUUUGAGUUGAGCAUCGUUAACAUUGAUUCGGGGAGCAUUGCAUUCCUCACUGGGUGGCGGUUUGUGCAUGAAAACCGUUUUGA
rnacentral:ncRNA from 1 species